rnacentral:rRNA from 1 species
UUUUAUCCUGGCUCAGAUUGAACGCUGGCGGCAUGCCUUACACAUGCAAGUCGAACGGCAGCGCGGGAGCAAUCCUGGCGGCGAGUGGCGAACGGGUGAGUAAUACAUCGGAACGUGUCCAGUAGUGGGGGAUAGCCCGGCGAAAGCCGGAUUAAUACCGCAUACGAUCUUAGGAUGAAAGCGGGGGAUCGCAAGACCUCGCGCUAUUGGGGCGGCCGAUGGCAGAUUAGCUAGUUGGUGGGGUAAAGGCCUACCAAGGCGACGAUCUGUAGCUGGUCUGAGAGGACGACCAGCCACACUGGGACUGAGACACGGCCCAGACUCCUACGGGAGGCAGCAGUGGGGAAUUUUGGACAAUGGGCGAAAGCCUGAUCCAGCAAUGCCGCGUGUGUGAAGAAUGCCUUCGGGUUGUAAAGCACUUUUGUCCGGAAAGAAAACUUCGUCCCUAAUAUGGAUGGAGGAUGACGGUACCGGAAGAAUAAGCACCGGCUAACUACGUGCCAACAGCCGCGGUAAUACGUACGGUGCGAGCGUUAAUCGGAAUUACGGGGCGUAAAGCGUGCGCAGGCGGUUCGCUAAGACCGAUGUGACAUCCCCGGGCUUA